rnacentral:RNase_P_RNA from 1 species
CGAGUUGGACGGGCGACCGCGUCGGACGGUUCGCCGUCCGCCGAGGAAAGUCCGGACUCCACAGGGCAGGGUGGUGGGUAACGCCCACCCGGGGUGACCCGCGGGACAGUGCCACAGAAAACAGACCGCCGAUCGGCCCGCAAGGGCGGAUCGGUAAGGGUGAAACGGUGGUGUAAGAGACCACCAGCGCUCCGGGUGACCGGAGCGGCUAGGUAAACCCCACCCGGAGCAAGGCCAGACAGGAUGCGCUCGAGGGCUGCUCGCCCGAGUAUCCGGGUAGGCCGCACGAGGACGCCGGCAACGGCGCCCCGAGAUGGAUGGUCGUCGCAGGCCGGGUUCGCCCGGCCUGGCACAAGAUCCGGCUUACAGUCCAGCUCGUCCG